rnacentral:lncRNA from 1 species
CCGGAAACUAGGCUGAUUCGCGAACGACUCCUCCCAGUUCAGUCGAGUUCCCGUUGAAUCAAUUCACCGCAAAUUCGACUGAGCUGGGAGGAGUUGUUCGUGAAUCGUUUGGUCGUUCAGCCUGGUUUCCGGUAGCGGUAAAUCGCAUCAUGGAAUGCACGCCAUUGCACAGUUCUCAGCUGAGUCAGUCAGACUCAGUGGAGUUAUUGCUACCGGAAACUUGACUGAACGAACGAACGAACGAACGAUUCGCAAACGACUUCCCUUGGCGAACUGAAUCACGUGAACUGGGUCACGGAAACGAAUAAUUAAAUCCACCACUACUCCACUUCCGGUAACCUACAACUGCGCAUGACUGAACGUCAACACGCAUCAAACGUGGGAUGCCAUACAAUACUGUGCCAGAUAUUGAAAUUGAACCCCCAUGGGCAUAUUUAAAGGGAUACUUCACCGAUUCAGAACCGACGUUCUACCAUUAUAAAAUCGCUAUUGUAAUGUAAAAAAAAAAGAUUUUCUUCCCUCAGUCUAACCCAGUCUUCCCUUGGCUCAGCUUUCCUGAUCUUAUUUUCUCCUGAGAUGACGUCAAAUGAUGCGUUUGACGUCAUAUCAGCAAAACUUUGCUUGCCUGCUAGAAGGGCCGAGGACUACAAACCACUGGUUCCGCAAAUUUGUGUCUGCCAUGUUUCUUCACCGCUUAGCUAGAGAACAAAUUUGCUAUGUAGUGAAGUGGAUUUUGAAAAUCGAUUGUUGGAUUCAGACAUUCAGGGCUAUUUGUACUUGCCAGAAUACAGCCAGUAAGACUUGACACAAAUAGAGGAGGAGGCUGCUGCGGCUGCAGCUGAACAAACCUUGCCUGUUGCCGAGGACGAAGAGCCGGAGCGCGUCGGUUUGCUCCGUUCGCCUACAGACACUAAGCCAGAGUCCCUGUGCUGCAGCGAAUUUCAGCGAUACCAGUCUCUUCUAAAAUAAAUGGCUGAAUCUGGCGAGGACGGGGCCAUGUGUGUAACCUCUCACCCAGGCUUUAUGCCUCAUCUGAACAGUUGGGUAUUGGAUACAUAUUUCCGGACCCAGAAUGUGAGCCGGAAACAUCAACCAAAGCCCGCCGGGAGAAAUGGACAUAUGAGCAUAGAAAAGUAUCAGCUUGCUGUGUUGUCCAGGCCAUCAGAGCUAAUUACCCAACACAAGGUGGGCUGUAACGCGGCUACCAGGAGACAGUAGAUGCUCUAGAUGAGCUGUGACUGUUUUGACUCUAGCAAAAGCACACUACACGUUUUAUUUUUGUAAACAG